AGGACGAACGCUGGCGGCGUGCUUAACACAUGCAAGUCACGGGGGCCCGUAGCAAUACGGGCAACCAGCGAACGGGUGCGUAACACGUGAGCAAUCUGCCGAUCUCUGGGGGAUAGCCAGCCUAACGGCUGGGUAAUACCGCAUACGCUCGUUGGGGGGAGUCCCCUGAUGAGGAAACCUCUGGGGGAGAUCGAGGAGCUCGCGACCUAUCAGCUAGUUGGCGGGGUAACGGCCCACCAAGGCAGCGACGGGUAGCUGGUCUGAGAGGAUGGCCAGCCACAUUGGGACUGCGACACGGCCCAGACUCCUACGGGAGGCAGCAGUGGGGAAUAUUGCGCAAUGGACGAAAGUCUGACGCAGCGACGCCGCGUGUGGGAUGAAGCCUUUCGGGGUGUAAACCACUGUUGCCCGGGACGAAACUCCUCUUUCGAGAGGAUUGACGGUACCGGGUGAGGAAGCACCGGCUAACUCUGCGCCAGCAGCCGC
rnacentral:rRNA from 1 species